ensembl:snoRNA Small nucleolar RNA SNORD101
GCGUCAAUGAUGAUUUGAGUUCUUUUGUCGGAUACCCCUUCACUCUUUCAUGAGUGAGACACACCUUCUGACACGC